UAACAGCUUGGUUGGUAGAGCAUGAGGCUCUUAAUCUCAGGGUUGUGGGUUUGAGCCCCACCUUGCACAU